GUCCACGCCUUAACGAUGAGAGCUAGUUGUCAGUAAGCAUGCUUAUUGGUGACGCAGCUAACGCAUUAAGCUCUCCGCCUGGGGAGUACGGCCGCAAGGUUAAACUCAAAGAAAUUGACGGGGCCCGCACAAGCGGUGGAGCAUGUGGUUUAAUUCGAAGCAACGCGCAGAACCUUACCCACCUUUGACAUCCCGUGCUACCUAGAGAGAUCUAGGGGUCCCUUCGGGGCGCGGAGACAGGUGCUGCAUGGCUGUCGU
rnacentral:rRNA from 1 species